CUGUUUCACUGGGAAACAGAAGCAAUCAGAAGGAAACUUCCUCAGACUCCACCUCUCCCUUCACUCCCGCCUGUAUCCGUGCCUGUUACCUGGACGCCUUGUGGAACUUGAAUUCUACGCCCUCCACUGGGACACUGCCCUUCAUCCUCUCUCACCUCCUCCAGGACAACAAAUGUUGUAGUCCUCAUCAUCAGCAGAGACUUUGUGCCAUCCUCUGCUAUAUUAUCCUGAAGAGUGCCUGGCUCAUGCUGCAGUGUUCUGAAUAGCAGUCCAGCUAUGAGGGGAGGUGCCCGUGGCAGGCCUCAGCUGACCCUGGAGAGGCCAUUAAGACCUGGCUGUCGCCUCCACAGCUGCUCGGAGGCAGAGAAAGGUGGCUUUGUAAGAAGAAAAGAGAUCAUUCUUUUUCCACCAUGUGAGGACCCAGCAAGAGGGUGGCUGUCUGCAAACCCAGGGAGAGAGCCCUCACCAGGAAUCUGCUGGCACCUUAAUCUUGGACUUCCC
rnacentral:lncRNA from 1 species